rnacentral:rRNA from 1 species
GACGAACGCUGGCGGCGUGCCUAAUACAUGCAAGUCGAACGGAGCGGCGGACGGGUGAGUAAUGCCUAGGAAUCUGCCUGGUAGUGGGGGAUACCGUCCGGAAACGGGCACUAAUACCGCAUACUAUCAGAUGAGCCUAGGUCGGGUUCGCUAGUUGGUGGGGUAAAGGCCUACCAAGGCGAAGAUCCGUAACUGGUCUGAGAGGAUUAUUAGUCACACUGGAACUGAGACACGGUCCAGACUCAUACGGGAGGCAGCAGUGGGGAAUAUUGGACAAUGGGCGGAAGCCUGGUCCAGCCAUGCCGAGUGUGUGAAGAAGGUCUUCGGAUUGUAAAGCACUUUACGCUGGGAGGCGGUACCAACAGAAUAAGCACCGGCUAACUCCGUGCCAGCAGCCGCGGUAAUUC